rnacentral:tRNA from 1 species
UCCCUGGUGGUUCAGUGGGUUAAGGAUCCAGCAUUGCCAAUGCUGUGUCCCGGGUUCCAAUCCUGACCAGAGAG